rnacentral:tmRNA from 1 species
CCCCUUCAAAUCCGCCUGCAGCCGCCCUAUAUCUCAGCUGUCACUUCGGUGACUAUGGGCAUAAACGCGCAUGUAAUAAGCGGAUCGGACCCGGGGGCGGUACCCGGCGGCUCCACCAUACAUCCCUUGUUGGGGGAUCAUGGGGCCGAAAUAGGAUCGACGAACGUGUAAAGAUGUAGCUUUGUCCCGGUGAGAUACCACCGUUAUCGGUUCGCUAAGUACAAUUGCCAACAACAAUCGUGCUCCGGUUGCUCUGGCUGCGUAAGCAGUUAGAAAUACCGAAACUUAAGCCCUUGGGCCUAGCAGCUUAAGGCGGGGUUCGCAGGUACCUGGCAACAGAAACCUGCACU